UUAAGCGACUAAGCGUACACGGUGGAUGCCCUGGCAGUCAGAGGCGAUGAAGGACGUGCUAAUCUGCGAUAAGCGUCGGUAAGGUGAUAUGAACCGUUAUAACCGGCGAUUUCCGAAUGGGGAAACCCAGUGUGAUUCGUCACACUAUCAUUAACUGAAUCCAUAGGUUAAUGAGGCGAACCGGGGGAACUGAAACAUCUAAGUACCCCGAGGAAAAGAAAUCAACCGAGAUUCCCCCAGUAGCGGCGAGCGAACGGGGAGGAGCCCAGAGCCUGAAUCAGUGUGUGUGUUAGUGGAAGCGUCUGGAAAGGCGCGCGAUACAGGGUGACAGCCCCGUACACAAAAAUGCACAUGCUGUGAGCUCGAUGAGUAGGGCGGGACACGUGGUAUCCUGUCUGAAUAUGGGGGGACCAUCCUCCAAGGCUAAAUACUCCUGACUGACCGAUAGUGAACCAGUACCGUGAGGGAAAGGCGAAAAGAACCCCGGCGAGGGGAGUGAAAAAGAACCUGAAACCGUGUACGUACAAGCAGUGGGAGCCUCUUAAUGGGGUGACUGCGUACCUUUUGUAUAAUGGGUCAGCGACUUAUAUUCUGUAGCAAGGUUAACCGAAUAGGGGAGCCGAAGGGAAACCGAGUCUUAACUGGGCGUUAAGUUGCAGGGUAUAGACCCGAAACCCGGUGAUCUAGCCAUGGGCAGGUUGAAGGUUGGGUAACACUAACUGGAGGACCGAACCGACUAAUGUUGAAAAAUUAGCGGAUGACUUGUGGCUGGGGGUGAAAGGCCAAUCAAACCGGGAGAUAGCUGGUUCUCCCCGAAAGCUAUUUAGGUAGCGCCUCGUGAAUUCAUCUCCGGGGGUAGAGCACUGUUUCGGCAAGGGGGUCAUCCCGACUUACCAACCCGAUGCAAACUGCGAAUACCGGAGAAUGUUAUCACGGGAGACACACGGCGGGUGCUAACGUCCGUCGUGAAGAGGGAAACAACCCAGACCGCCAGCUAAGGUCCCAAAGUCAUGGUUAAGUGGGAAACGAUGUGGGAAGGCCCAGACAGCCAGGAUGUUGGCUUAGAAGCAGCCAUCAUUUAAAGAAAGCGUAAUAGCUCACUGGUCGAGUCGGCCUGCGCGGAAGAUGUAACGGGGCUAAACCAUGCACCGAAGCUGCGGCAGCGACACUAUGUGUUGUUGGGUAGGGGAGCGUUCUGUAAGCCUGUGAAGGUGGCCUGUGAGGGUUGCUGGAGGUAUCAGAAGUGCGAAUGCUGACAUAAGUAACGAUAAAGCGGGUGAAAAGCCCGCUCGCCGGAAGACCAAGGGUUCCUGUCCAACGUUAAUCGGGGCAGGGUGAGUCGACCCCUAAGGCGAGGCCGAAAGGCGUAGUCGAUGGGAAACAGGUUAAUAUUCCUGUACUUGGUGUUACUGCGAAGGGGGGACGGAGAAGGCUAUGUUGGCCGGGCGACGGUUGUCCCGGUUUAAGCGUGUAGGCUGGUUUUCCAGGCAAAUCCGGAAAACCAAGGCUGAGGCGUGAUGACGAGGCACUACGGUGCUGAAGUGACAAAUGCCCUGCUUCCAGGAAAAGCCUCUAAGCAUCAGGUAACAUCAAAUCGUACCCCAAACCGACACAGGUGGUCAGGUAGAGAAUACCAAGGCGCUUGAGAGAACUCGGGUGAAGGAACUAGGCAAAAUGGUGCCGUAACUUCGGGAGAAGGCACGCUGAUAUGUAGGUGAAGCGACUUGCUCGUGGAGCUGAAAUCAGUCGAAGAUACCAGCUGGCUGCAACUGUUUAUUAAAAACACAGCACUGUGCAAACACGAAAGUGGACGUAUACGGUGUGACGCCUGCCCGGUGCCGGAAGGUUAAUUGAUGGGGUUAGCGGUAACGCGAAGCUCUUGAUCGAAGUCCCGGUAAACGGCGGCCGUAACUAUAACGGUCCUAAGGUAGCGAAAUUCCUUGUCGGGUAAGUUCCGACCUGCACGAAUGGCGUAAUGAUGGCCAGGCUGUCUCCACCCGAGACUCAGUGAAAUUGAACUCGCUGUGAAGAUGCAGUGUACCCGCGGCAAGACGGAAAGACCCCGUGAACCUUUACUAUAGCUUGACACUGAACAUUGAGCCUUGAUGUGUAGGAUAGGUGGGAGGCUUUGAAGUGUGGACGCCAGUCUGCAUGGAGCCGACCUUGAAAUACCACCCUUUAAUGUUUGAUGUUCUAACGUUGGCCCCUAAUCGGGGUUGCGGACAGUGUCUGGUGGGUAGUUUGACUGGGGCGGUCUCCUCCUAAAGAGUAACGGAGGAGCACGAAGGUUGGCUAAUCCUGGUCGGACAUCAGGAGGUUAGUGCAAUGGCAUAAGCCAGCUUGACUGCGAGCGUGACGGCGCGAGCAGGUGCGAAAGCAGGUCAUAGUGAUCCGGUGGUUCUGAAUGGAAGGGCCAUCGCUCAACGGAUAAAAGGUACUCCGGGGAUAACAGGCUGAUACCGCCCAAGAGUUCAUAUCGACGGCGGUGUUUGGCACCUCGAUGUCGGCUCAUCACAUCCUGGGGCUGAAGUAGGUCCCAAGGGUAUGGCUGUUCGCCAUUUAAAGUGGUACGCGAGCUGGGUUUAGAACGUCGUGAGACAGUUCGGUCCCUAUCUGCCGUGGGCGCUGGAGAACUGAGGGGGGCUGCUCCUAGUACGAGAGGACCGGAGUGGACGUAUCACUGGUGUUCGGGUUGUCAUGCCAAUGGCACUGCCCGGUAGCUAAAUGCGGAAGAGAUAAGUGCUGAAAGCAUCUAAGCACGAAACUUGCCCCGAGAUGAGUUCUCCCUGAGUCCUUGAGUCUCCUGAAGGAACGUUGAAGACGACGACGUUGAUAGGCCGGGUGUGUAAGCGCAGCGAUGCGUUGAGCUAACCGGUACUAAUGAACCGUGAGGCUUAACCUU
rnacentral:rRNA from 2 species